AUGGUGGAGCAAGAGCAAAGAAAAACUCCUUUGGUUCUAGAAAAUCUCCUGAAAAAGAGGAAGGCUUAUCAAGCCCGCAAAGCCACCCAGGCAAAGCAGGCAGUUUGGCAAAGAAGGAGCAGAGGAAAGGAAAAGGGCUCCGAUUUAAACGACUGGAAUCAUUCCUACAUGAUUCCUGGUGGCAGAAACGUGACGAGGUGUGUCUCAGGUGACUAGUAGUAAAACCCCACAUCUUGGAAUUGCCAAAUAAACAUUCCUUGGCCUUUGCUGUACACAUAGAAAGGACUGAUAGCGUGAGUUUACUGCUGCAGAGAACCAUUGCAAGACUUCGCCUGAAGAAAAUUUUUAGUGUUGUCUUUGUAAAAGUCACCCCCUAGAACCUAAAAAUGCUGUGUAUAGUGGAACCUUAUGUGACCUGGGGAUUUCCAAAUCUGAAGUGUGUCCGGGAACUCACUUUGAAACAUGGACAAGCCAAGGUCAAGAAUAAGACCAUCCCUCUGACACACAACACAGUGAUUGAGGAGCACCUGGGGAAGUUUGGCUCAUUUGUUUGGAAGACCUCAUUCAUGAAACUGCCCUCCCAGGGAAGCAUUUCCAGGAGAUCUCAUGGUUCUUGCGCCCUAUCCACCUCUCAGUGGCCCAUCAUGCUACCCAAAAUAGAGUGGGCUUCCUCAAGGAGAUGGGCACACCUGGCUAUCAGGGUGAAUGCAUCAAUCAGCUCAUCCACCAGCUGAACUAG
rnacentral:lncRNA from 1 species